GGAUGCGAGGGUGAUCUGGUUGCGACAUCUGUCACCCCGUCGAUCACCCCGUUGAUUUGGCUGAUCCGGCUGGCCAGGCGGGUGUCCCUGUCCUCCCUCGUGGCUCCGUCUGCGUCCCUCCUGAGCAUGUACUCACUGGAAGGGGGUGACCACCCCCAACAGAGGAGGUGGAGGAGGACCGUUCCUCAGUCAGGGUGUGGCAGUAGCGCACUCCCCUGCUGGGACCUCCAAACAGGCUCUCGAAUGAGAACUUAAGUGUUCGUGCUAGAACUGGUGUAUACGCACGCUGCAUCAUCCAUCAGUGAUGAAUAGCUUCAGAGAU
rnacentral:snRNA from 1 species